AAUUAAUCUAUAUAAAGUCACAAUAUUUUUUGCCAUAUAAAAUGUUACCUUUCAUUCUUAUAGCCAAACUUUAAAUCAAACUACAUUCUUCUCUUCUCAACAUCCAACCCUUUACCUUCCCACUCCUCUAAUUACAUGUAAUGUAAGGUGUAACAUUUAAUUACAAAGAUCAUAUUAAUAUUUUAUCAAUGAGUAGAUUCUAAUUAUAAUUUAUUUUUUUAAUAAUUGAAUUUAGUCACACAAAUUACCCAUACUUAAUAUGGUACAGCUUCUUAUAUAUCAAUAAGCUGUAGAUAUAAAUUUUAUUAAAAUUUUUAAAUUUUAUUAAAAUUUUUAAAAUUUAUUUUUAUUAUCCGUUCGUUGCAUCGCGCGGAUCUCUACACUAGUACGUUUAGGAAAGUAGAG
rnacentral:lncRNA from 1 species